rnacentral:rRNA from 1 species
AGAGUUUGAUCCUGGCUCAGGAUGAACGCUGGCGGCGUGCCUAACACAUGCAAGUCGAACGAAGUUACACAGAGGAAGUUUUCGGAUGGAAUCAGUAUAACUUAGUGGCGGACGGGUGAGUAACGCGUGGGAAACCUGCCCUGUACCGGGGGAUAACACUUAGAAAUAGGUGCUAAUACCGCAUAAGCGCACAGCUUCACAUGAAGCAGUGUGAAAAACUCCGGUGGUACAGGAUGGUCCCGCGUCUGAUUAGCCAGUUGGCAGGGUAACGGCCUACCAAAGCGACGAUCAGUAGCCGGCCUGAGAGGGUGAACGGCCACAUUGGGACUGAGACACGGCCCAAACUCCUACGGGAGGCAGCAGUGGGGAAUAUUGCACAAUGGGGGAAACCCUGAUGCAGCGACGCCGCGUGAGUGAAGAAGUAUUUCGGUAUGUAAAGCUCUAUCAGCAGGGAAGAAAAUGACGGUACCUGACUAAGAAGCCCCGGCUAACUACGUGCCAGCAGCCGCGGUAAUACGUAGGGGGCAAGCGUUAUCCGGAUUUACUGGGUGUAAAGGGAGCGUAGACGGCAUGGCAAGCCAGAUGUGAAAACCCAGGGCUCAACCUUGGGAUUGCAUUUGGAACUGCCAGGCUGGAGUGCAGGAGAGGUAAGCGGAAUUCCUAGUGUAGCGGUGAAAUGCGUAGAUAUUAGGAGGAACACCAGUGGCGAAGGCGGCUUACUGGACUGUAACUGACGUUGAGGCUCGAAAGCGUGGGGAGCAAACAGGAUUAGAUACCCUGGUAGUCCACGCGGUAAACGAUGAUUG